rnacentral:rRNA from 1 species
GACGAAGGGGGCUAGCGUUGUUCGGAAUUACUGGGCGUAAAGGGCUCGUAGGCGGCCAACUAAGUCGGACGUGAAAUCCCCAGGCUCAACCUGGGAACUGUGUCCGAUACUGGAUGGCUUGAAUCCGGGAGAGGGAUGCAGAAUUCCAGGUGUAGCGGUGAAAUGCGUAGAUAUCUGGAGGAAUACCGGUGGCGAAGGCGGCAUCCUGGACCGGCAUUGACGCUGAGGAGCGAAAGCCAGGGGAGCAAACGGG